UCACUUUUCUUUAUAUUCUUCAUCUGGUCAUUAAUUUAUCUUCCACUCAAUGAUCAAGGUUGAGAUUCUGUACCGCGUAGGCAGACAUGUAUUAUGCCAGGUACAUGGGCAUAUAGGUGCAUGGUGCCACUGGAAGAGAGUGCAUCUAUGUUCAUCUCAAAUGUCUCAUUUGGAUCUUGAAAUCUUGCCAGACUGCUAACCUUACUUGACGGUUUCUUCCGUGGCAUGCAAAUUUUCCUGAUGCCCACC
rnacentral:lncRNA from 1 species